UACGAAGGGGGCUAGCGUUGUUCGGAAUUACUGGGCGUAAAGCGCGCGCAGGCGGCUGAUUAAGUCCGAUGUGAAAUCUCCCGGCUCAACCGGGAGCGGUCAUUGGAUACUGGUCGGCUUGAGGGAGGCAGAGGAGAGUGGAAUUCCCGGUGUAGUGGUGGAAUGCGUAGAUAUCGGGAGGAACACCAGCGGCGAAGGCGACACGCUGGGCCGUACCUGACACUGAUGCGCGACAGCAUGGGGAGCAAACAGG
rnacentral:rRNA from 1 species